UGGUGGAGCGAUUUGUCUGGUUAAUUCCGGUAACGAACGAGACUCUGGCCUAUUAAAUAGUUCGCCGAUUCCGAUCUGUCGGCGUUAACUUCUUAGAGGGACAAGUGGCUUUUAGCCACGCGAGAUUGAGCAAUAACA
rnacentral:rRNA from 1 species